AGAGUUUGAUCCUGGCUCAGGACGAACGCUGGCGGCGCGCCUAACACAUGCAAGUCGAACGAGAGAGAGGGAGCUUGCUUCCUUGAUCGAGUGGCGAACGGGUGAGUAACGCGUGAGGAACCUGCCUCAAAGAGGGGGACAACAGUUGGAAACGACUGCUAAUACCGCAUAAGCCCACGACCCGGCAUCGGGAAGAGGGAAAAGGAGCAAUCCGCUUUGAGAUGGCCUCGCGUCCGAUUAGCUAGUUGGUGAGGUAACGGCCCACCAAGGCGACGAUCGGUAGCCGGACUGAGAGGUUGAACGGCCACAUUGGGACUGAGACACGGCCCAGACUCCUACGGGAGGCAGCAGUGGGGAAUAUUGCACAAUGGGGGAAACCCUGAUGCAGCGACGCCGCGUGGAGGAAGAAGGUCUUCGGAUUGUAAACUCCUGUUGUUGAGGAAGAUAAUGACGGUACUCAACAAGGAAGUGACGGCUAACUACGUGCCAGCAGCCGCGGUAAAACGUAGGUCACAAGCGUUGUCCGGAAUUACUGGGUGUAAAGGGAGCGCAGGCGGGCGAUCAAGUUGGAAGUGAAAUCCAUGGGCUCAACCCAUGAACUGCUUUCAAAACUGGUCGUCUUGAGUAGUGCAGAGGUAGGCGGAAUUCCCGGUGUAGCGGUGGAAUGCGUAGAUAUCGGGAGGAACACCAGUGGCGAAGGCGGCCUACUGGGCACCAACUGACGCUGAGGCUCGAAAGUGUGGGUAGCAAACAGGAUUAGAUACCCUGGUAGUCCACACCGUAAACGAUGAUUACUAGGUGUUGGGAGAUUGACCCUCUCAGUGCCGCAGUUAACACAAUAAGUAAUCCACCUGGGGAGUACGACCGCAAGGUUGAAACUCAAAGGAAUUGACGGGGGCCCGCACAAGCAGUGGAGUAUGUGGUUUAAUUCGACGCAACGCGAAGAACCUUACCAAGUCUUGACAUCCUCUGACGAACGUAGAAAUACGUUUUCUCUUCGGAGCAGAGAGACAGGUGGUGCAUGGUUGUCGUCAGCUCGUGUCGUGAGAUGUUGGGUUAAGU
rnacentral:rRNA from 1 species